ACAUGCUUACAACAUAGCAUUAAUGAAAUGGAUCCCAUUAGAACUCCACAAUUAAGUGUGCUCGGGCUAGAGUAGUACUGUGAUGGGUGACCAUCCAAUAGUCCUAGUAUUUUACAUGCC
rfam:Picea glauca, whole genome shotgun sequence.